AGGUGGGCUGUGGAGCUGUGGACAGCUGCUGAUUUGCUCUCAGCAGGUUCAGCCCAUUGAUGUUCAUUACGGGUUCAAGGCUGUAAUACUUGGCAUUUGCUGAACCAUCAGAUUGCCAACUACUGUGCAUGACUCAAAAUUCUCUUUUCUUGCCUCAGCUACUCAAAUGGAUCUUGAUUUCUCAUCAGAUCCCAUGUGCUGUAUCACAUUAGUUGCUCCUUAAAUACAUCAGUGAGUGGUAGUCCCUAAAUCAUGAAGAUUUCAAUUCUUUUCUGUCUCAAUUAAUAUAAUGUGGCGAUACCUUAAGGGGUUCAAUGAAGUUCCCAAAGCCUACAACCACAACUUUUUCCAUAACAAUACCUGACAAAGGUUUAUUUUCUACCUUUUUACAUCUGUUCACUUGAAGGUAUUGAGCACUUCUGCAGAUGAGAAGCUCAAGGUGUUAUUCAGAAUAUUUUUAGUCAACUCUACCAAUCUUGUACUUUAUGCUUUCAUAAGGGAUUGCUGUGUAGACCUCACUAUUUACCAAUCUGCACAUUUACACACAACUUUCGAUCUAUCCCAUUUCCAGAUUUUUGUUGAAGUUCAGUUUGAUUCUCUCUUCUGAUCUCCUAGAUUUCGUGCAGACUUCAUGUAUAAAUGACCUGGGUGGCAGAUUCUUUCUUUUUUCUGAGUUAGAGGAGAAAUAGCUUUAACAGCAUGUCAUAUUGAUUUAUUCCUCCUCAAUCUAAUUUAUUUUCCUCCUAUCUAUCGUGUGAGUUUUCAUGAUGAGAGCUCUUACACGCACAAGUUUCCACAAAACUUUUUUUUUUCCCUUUUUGUCCAACUUCAUCUUUUGCACACAAAAGAUAUCCAGUGAAAAUAGGGGACUGGUUGCUACGUAUCUUGCUGUGGAAGAGCCUGAGAACUGAACAGUACUGAAGUAGCUCACCAUCAGACAGGAGUCAUCUAGGGAUCACCAAUGGUAAGCAUCGGUGCUGUUUCCUGACGUGACUUUUGUGUGCCUACUGAGAGGUCACAGCUCAAUAGCUAGUGGUCAAAGCAGCAAAUAGAAGCCUUUGCUUUUAUUCCCACUAGGCCUGGUUGUAGAUGAUGGUCUUUUUCCUGCAUAAGGCAGAAGUGGUUGACCAAGUGCUUUGGGGUGUUCAGAUUAAAAGCUGCUGUUCAAUCUGCACUACUAUUGUUGGGCUAACUCCUAAAGGUUUCAUUUUUAUUAAGUUCUUAGGUGCACAAAUCAACAUUAGAACACACUGCUUAACCAAGGACCAAUGCAUUAACUACUGUUUAGAAACUUGGGAUCAAACCGAGCUAACUGCUCAGUCCCUCACUGAAAGGUAAAAUAAAAGUCUGUAAAAUUAAGCAACCGAACCUUAGGAGAGAAACCUGUUGUGUAGAGCUAAGAACCACAUUUGUAAGUUAAUCUCAGUUUACCAGGUAGAUACCAGUGUUAAAUAUGGAAAAGAAAGAAACAAAAGACAGCAAGUCAUGUGACAGAUUAAAGGCAAAGCCAUGAAACAGGACUGCUUAAAAAGGUCUUCUAGCUAUUGAGUUUUGUGGUCUGAACACGGCUCUGAUCACCAAAGCGGGUUUGUGGCUUUUGCACAAGACUGCCGAGGUGAUGCUGUUUCUUCCUUAAUGUUCCUUUGUCUUGCAGGUGUGAGUGAGAUUUGGAGAGCAGAUAUCACUCAGCCCAUAGUUUGACAGGUCUCUGUUCUUGGCGCAUUGGAGCUGUUUCCUGCACAGACAUAUUGUAAAACUGAUCUAGCCUUAAAAGCUUCAUUCACUAGAGAAUUAUUUGCUGCAUUUAUAGCACUGUACAUAUAAGAAAAACUAUUAUGGGCCAUCAACAUGAUGUAAGAGAAAGCAAUCUCUUUAGUGACACGUGUUCUCUUGGACAGAGACUGGUUCUGAGCUAACACCUGGCAGCAGGUGGACACGUGAAAUGUGAAUUUCAAGUUUACUUUGCAUUAGCCUUGGUUUGACAUUGACUCCACAGCACAGCUCUGUACUUUCAGUGGAGGAUUUUGAUUUCCUGAGCAGGAGGGCUUUGACUUCAGGGCAGGGCUUGGCAGCCAUUUGCAUCUACUUGUGCACUAACAUUUUUUAAAUAGCAUGUCAUUAGUGGCUUGUUGUUUUUUUUUCCAGCUUACUGGAAAUUACAAAGAAUUUAGCCAUGGGUUUGGUGCCAAUUUUCAGGAUUUGCUCUACUGGACAAACUUGUUGCAUCACUGUUGUGUGACAUUUGCGUCAUGUUAUUCCAACACUGAUUCCUUAUUAUGCAAAGCAGUCACAUUGCCUCAUGCUAACCUGAGGGUGCACUGCAACAUUACCAUAUUAUGAUGCAAUAUGGCUGCGUGGUGACAGCACUGUUAUGUGAUUCCUUGGUGAGAACUUGAAAUAUAUUUUUGGAAACGUCUUCACAAUUUUAAUCUGAUAAAAAUGUUAUAGUUAGACACACGCUGGGAGGAGGAAGGAGGAGACACUAACUUUUCCUUCUCCCUGCUACCCCAUUUCUCAUACUUAAUUCUCCUCUAAAUAUUCCUUACAAUGAUGAAAACACUGCUGUGAGCCUCACUUCGAUGGAUACAUACACAAAACUGUGGCUGGAAUUAACUCUGUCUUCUUUUUGUUCUGCACAAUGACUCUUCCAAAAGAGUUUCAGGCUAUGGUUUAUAAUGCCUAAAAAUGUCAAAUUGUAAUGGAGGAAUUGUGUUUUUGAAAUGCAGAACGGAGCAAUAGUUCCUGAUCUCCCUUGGUGUAUGACUUGCCAAAAUCCUCCUAUGUUCAACUGAAGGUAGGUGUCAUCUGGAAACGUGAGGAAAGAGAAUUGAAGUUCUGCAAAACUUCUCCAUGGGCAAAUCUCUAAAGGAUUUAGUAAAAGGAAUAACAAUUUUUAAUUCCGGAGUGUUAUGGGCCUCUGUGGAUGGGAGAGAUUCAGUUAAUCUGAAACACAGACCAUCUGAUUGCUUAGAUGCAUCAAUGCUUUUGUAUGAGAUGGUAAGGAAAAAGAAAUUCCCACAACUUAGGAGUUCUGUCUCUGUAUGAAAAAAAAAGUUGGGUAGAAAAUCUCUGCACAUUCAGCCAUUGUAUUUCAAAUAGGAAAUCUAUUUCUAUUCUAUUAUUUCCAUGCUGGAAAAGUAUCCCUGCAGCAAACAUUUCAACAGGUUUGAUAAUAAAAUAUAGUGGGGAAAAGAUGAAGGAAGAAAAUUGGAAAGAGACAAAGCAAUGGACAAAGAAAAAGCUAGAGAAGGUGUAAAAAAAGAGUGACAAAGGGAAAGAGGUAGGAUGAAAGUUGAGAUGCAAAUGGACAGAAAGGAAAUCAAAAGGGAAAAUGGCAUUUCCAUGAGAUCUCCGUGCUUCCAGACUGCAUUAGAACACUUGGAAAAAAACUGGCAUUUCCACAAGAAAUAGGAUCUCUUUCGUAACAGGGAGGGUGGAGUCACAGAAGCAGGCCUAACAAUUAUGUAAGAGCACAUGCUAAAGGAAAACAACUGUAAUCUUUUCUGUUUGCUGACCGGUCAAAGAAGGGCAUGUGCCACACUGUGAAAAGCUGGAACAUCUACAGUAUCUGCUAGCUGUAUUGGAAAAGGAACCUGCAGUGACACUCAGAAUUCUGCGUGUUCUGUGGCAGCUGCACUUUGACGAGAAUUUGAUGAGAUCUUAACAUAUCCAAUGUGUCUCCACCUGUUAGCUUUCAGAAUUGCUGUCACACUGGCACUUUGUAUUACAUUCACACCUACUGCUGUGGGAAAAAAUGAAGAGUAAGUAGAUCUUGAUGAAAUACUACUUAAAAUAUCUUUUUUAAAGGAUCAUUCAGGAAUAUCCUCAGUGUGCAAACAAUGUUUGUGAUUCUGAUUCACUUUCACAUUUAAAACUGAGCAUGAGCACUUGAGCUACGGGUGCACAAGAAGACCAAUUUUGUUCUCACUUUGCCCAGAGUUGUUUUCCUGGCACCAGUGAAGUCAGUCUCACUGGUUUGGAUGAGAACAAAGUCACUGUGCGAUACGUUCUCAAGCAGAGUAAUGUUGCAUUGAACAUGCACUGAAAUUAACAGAAAUGCAACCACAUAAAACUGUUCCCGUUGCACUGAUGGGAAACUGCUGCUUAGAGUAUGAGAAUCAGAGAAGUUUGUUCUUGAAAUUUUUCUUAGGACCUUUCCCACCCCAGGUAUGAUUCUGUUCAUGAGAAUAUCCACAGCAGAGCUUCCAUGGUAGUAGUUUAAACAAAGCUGUUAGUCCUUCACUGUUAGUCUUUCACAGUCCUACGUCUGUAAAAUGGGAGUAGAAUGGUAAUACAUUUUUGUUAUGUUGAGGUUUAAUUCUCAGUAUUAGCACUGUGUUCUGAAAGCUUAAGAUGAGAGAUUAUAAAUUGAAACACAUUAGCUAUACUUAAGCAAAUUGUUGCUGUGUAUUCCUGCAAGUAUUUUAAAAGUUCAACUCAUCCAGAA